AACCUGCUACAAAAUAAUGGCAUUUAUGAAAGACUAUUGGUGUCACAAUGAUGUGCUGCAUGGUUCCUUGCGUGGUUCUAUUUCUUUCAUGGCAGCACAAAGGUGGGAUGUAAUUGAUUCCAGUAACCAAACAGUCUGUGUAUCUGGAUCUGUUGUCAGCUCUCAGUGAUUUAAUGUGCAUUGGUAGACUGAAAUGGUUCUGCCUCACAUAUUGCUUCUCAAUCGUCUUUCUCCCAAGUACUUUGACUUGUCUUUGCGGAUUUCAAGUGCGUGAAAGUUUCAUGUUGGUCAGCAUCUGUUGAUCUCAUAUUUGUGCUCUGUACCAACAAAUAAAACAUGGCCAAUCAAACAAGAAUCACAGAAGAAGAUCUCGGUGAACAUUCAGUGCUGGUAAUUCAGUAUUCUGUUGUGUAUGCAACAAUUGAAACGUAUUACAUAAAAAAAAAAAUACCAACAGAUUGGUCUUUAGGCCAAGUGGUCUAGCUUCCUCCUUAAAGGAGUGUAAGCUUUGUACUACUAUUACUGUUGAUGAGCCUGCUCCUGGAUUGAAGACGAUCUUUAGCUUCAAGAUUCCUGAUCAAAGGUCUGGCAAGUUGGAAGUUCAAUACUUGCAUGACUAUGAGGGGAUAAGCACAACCAUUGGGUUGACAGCAAUCCCUAAAGCAAGA